CCUACGGGAGGCUGCAGUGGGGAAUAUUGGACAAUGGGGGGAACCCUGAUCCAGCGACGCCGCGUGAGUGAAGAAGUAUUUCGGUAUGUAAAGCUCUAUCAGCAGGGAAGAAAGAAAUGACGGUACCUGCCUAAGAAGACCCGGCUAACUACGUGCCAGCAGCCGCGGUAAUACGUAGGGGGCAAGCGUUAUCCGGAUUUACUGGGUGUAAAGGGAGCGUAGAUGGCGAUGCAAGUCUGAUGUGAAAGGCGGGGGCCCAACCCCCGGAGUGCAUUGGAUACUGUAUGGCUGGAGUGCAGGAGAGGUAAGUGGAAUUCCUGGUGUAGCGGUGAAAUGCGUAGAUAUUAGGAAGAACACCGAGGGCGAAGGCGGCUUACUAGACUGUAACUGACGUUGAGGCUCGAAAGCGUGGGGAGCAAACAGGAUUAGAUACCCCAGUAGUC
rnacentral:rRNA from 1 species